rnacentral:lncRNA from 1 species
CACUCUAAUGCGCCUGCAGUACCCAAGGUCUCUAUGUUGCUCUGAAUGCCCCAGCUCCCCUAGCUCUAUGUUACGAUCCCCCUCCUCGUUAAGUAAGUUCCGAAAGUACGCCUGCCACCUCUGCUUGAUUUGAGAUUCCCCCAUCAGAACUCUACCAUCCUCGCCCUUGAUACAACUAACUUGGUCAAGAUCACGUGCCUUCCUUUCCCUUGCUAAAUUUAGCUAACCGAAAUAACUUCUUGUCCCUGCCUCUCUCCCCUAGUUCCUCGUACAUGCGACCAAACGCCGCAUUUUUAGCUUCCGUGACUGCCAUCUUUGCUUCUUUCCUUG